GCCAAACCAUUCUCCUGGAAAGUAACACAGACUCAGACGGUGACGAGAACAAAAAAGUCUUAGAGAUGAAAAAACAAGAGUCGGAGAGAAAAAAGCGAGAAGCAGAUGAGAGGUUGCGGCUUGAGGAAGAAGAAUUGAAAAAGGAAUCCUUGAGAAGAUGACACUCUGAGAUGUGCAGGAAGAUGUGUGGGGAGGCAGCCCACCUGCAAGGCCUCCCCUGAAAUGGCUGCUGAAGAGACACGAGUACAUAAAGUGCCAUAGAAGCUUUACUGAAAUUAGUGAAAUAUGCCAUCAUCCUGCAAUACACACAUGGUCUAAAAGAGAAAUGACAAGACAAGCACAUAAGAAAAUGAGAUGAUGGAAAACCUCUUUAGUUGUUUGUGUUCUGCUCAGAUGUUGCCUAGCGACAAGGGAUGCUCAGUACUUUGAUAACAUCUUCUCCACAUUGGGAGAGAUUGAAAGAGAACAGGUGAUGAGGAGGGUGACUCCAGGAAUGCGGCCCCAUUACAAUGUGAGCAUGAGGCGACCACGGACACAUGUUUAUGCCAGACUGCAACACUGUACUAAUGAAACUCAAUGCAUGCAUCAAGGACAUUCACCAAAGAGCCACUGCAAACAAGAUGAUGCUUAAUGCUGCAAAGCAUUGGUUCUUCAUUUUACAUCAAGAUUUUCACAACAGCCACUUCCAGUCAUUUCCAUCACGGUUGGUGAUGUGAAACCACUCAACGAAAGCCAGAAAUCUCUGUGCAGUCAUGGAUGAACAUCUACAUGUAUCACCGAAGGCCCAUGUCUCUACCCUAUAUGCCGCUCUUAAAUUACUGUCAUCCAAAGAUGUUUUAAAUUUAGAAAAUAAUGAUCCACACAAAUACACCUGGAAAUUGUUUAGUUUUCCUUGGCCGUCU